GACGAACCGUGCAAACGUUGUUCGGAAUCACUGGGCUUAAAGGGCGCGUAGGCGGGUUCGUAAGUCUGUGGUGAAAGCCCCCAGCUUAACUGGGGAAGUGCCAUGGAUACUGCGAGUCUUGAGGAGGGUAGGGGCAUCUGGAACACUGGGUGGAGCGGUGAAAUGCGUUGAUAUCCAGUGGAACUCCGGUGGCGAAGGCGAGGUGCUGGACCCUUUCGACGCUGAUGCGCGAAAGCCAGGGGAGCAAACGGG
rnacentral:rRNA from 1 species